GCCAGGCUAGCUCAGUCAGUAGAGCAUGGGACUUUUAAUCCCAGGGUCAUGGGUUUGAGCCCCAUGUUGGGUG
rnacentral:tRNA from 2 species